CAUAUUAUCGAAGUAGUCGGUGGCGGUGCUCGGUUGAGAACGGUCUGGAUCGGCAUCUUCGGGAUUUCGUAUUGGUAUCCCGAGAGCUGCUCGUCUCUCAUUUAGUGCUCGCUGCAUAGUCGGGUUUCCCACUGUCAUCACGUCCAACAUAUCCUCAAGAGAGUCUAAACAAUCCUGCUGGCUAUCCUUUCGAGCUCUCAUCUGAGAGUUCUCUUCAUCCCG
rnacentral:lncRNA from 1 species